GCGCGCCGACAGUGAACGGACGGUCCACCCGCCAAUCACGCCGUUACGGCUCUGUCCAUCUUUACGAGUGUGUAUACAUACUGAAAAACGAAGAAAGGUUGACUCUCUAAUUGAUUCCAAUAGAGGCAUGGCAGUGCCAUGGAGUAUGACGCUAUGGAUGAGUAAGAUGGUGUGGGUAGCUCUCUGUGGGUGGGUUUUUUCUUGUUUGUCUGUUGCUGAUGAGAUUGCAAGCGCCCUCCGCUCCGGCGAUAUGGGUCCUUUCCAUGUUGGUUGAUUCCAAGUAUUUCUGCCCUACUUACUCAUCCGUGUCCUGGCUUGUUCUUGUGAAUUUGUUGUCCUUCAAUUUUGCUUCUUUGAAUUCAUGAUGGUACAUAUGAUAAGUAUGUUUGUUUUGUGUGAUGGGUAUUGUUGAACUGGUUCUAAAUUAUAUGGUUGAUUUUGAUCCUGAUGGUGUACUUUUGUGAUGCUUUCUUUGGAUUCUGUUUGAUGAAUUUUAUCUGUGAUAUUUUGUUGAGUUAUGUUCGACAUAUAGUUUUGCCCUUUUUUAUAUCUAGUUUUUCUUGCUGUAUUCGGGACUGGAAUAGUGAUAAUUAAACAUAGUUGGAGAAUCUUUUAAAUGCCUGCAGCUAUAGUUCCUAAGAUUUUUUCUGUGAGGCCACUGCCUUAUUUAGUUGCAUAGAAUUUAUGUGAUUCAAAGUCAGGACUGUGCUGGUGAACUCUUGUAAAGGGGUUAUUUAUAUAAGGAGGAAUUAAUAAAAGACUAGACUGAAUUAAGUAGGUAAUUUAUACUGAAAGAUACUGGAAUUUUGAUCAAUCCAAAUUUUCUUAUAUUUUCAUGAACCAAAUCCAAUAAAUUAUCUAAUCAAACUAUAAGCUUUUGGUCACUAUUGUAUGAAGACCCUAUUGUCUAACUUGACAUUGCACAACUGUCAGAGUUCAGGCCUGGAAGUGGUGGCUGAACUCACCGCAGGCAAUAUUAGCAAAUUUUCAUAAAGAAAAAAUAAAUCUAGAAUGGCAGUAUCCAAAAGCAUGACUAGCUGCUUUUAAAUUUGAUUAGAACAUAUCAGCUAACAUUAAGGAGUCAGCUUAGAAGUCUCCGGAUUCAGUUAUUGCAUAAAUAUCUGGACACAGGCGGAGAUCAAGUUUCUGAACAAGAGUUUUCUGUCCUAUGGUUCUUUUGCACCCUACUUGUCCAAAAACAAACUAGUAAUAUGAACCGAAGGAUUUGUUUUGGUAGUAAACAUUGGCUAGUCUUAAAAUAUUCAUAACAUAAAUGUCAUUUGCACUUUGGCAUAAAUCAUAAGGAGGUUAAAUGCAGGUUUUAGGACCACAGUGGGUUAUGUAAACCACAGGGUGGUAAAAUGUAUGUGCUCCGACUAUUAUUAAAAUAUGUUGUCAUAUCAUAUUCAAAUGUGCAUUAUAUGUACUCCUACACUCAGUACUUAAGCCUUACAACUCCACUUUCUUUCUGAGGACUUGCAGUCUGUCAAAUAUUUAAUCAAUAGAAUACUUCUGCUGUUGUGCAGGUAAUUUAUUACAUGCUAGGUGAGAAACUGACAGAGGAUGCAGAAUCUUCUUCAGUUACAGUUCAUGAAGAUUGAAUCCUGUGCGAUUGCAUCUGUAAAGGAUCAGGAUUUAGAACUCAAGAAAUCCGGGAUUGCUAGGAACGAUCAGGAGUAGAAAGCCGUUUUUUCUCAUAGAAAGAAAUGUCAUGUAACAGUUUUUAUUCCAUGAUGGGAACAAUAAAUGAAGAGAAGUGUAAAUGUAUAUAAGCCUAUUUUAUCUUGUGUCUGUCUUGCUUUUUACAAAUGUAUAUACCUGUAUAUGACAAACUAAAGAGGAGCUUGUAUGCUACUCCUUUCGUCCCUUAAUAAUAAGACCUUUUAGAGAAGUUUUUUUGUUCCUUAAUAUAUGACGUUUUAGAAUUCCAAGUAAGCAUUAAUUGCUUAGUUUUCAAUAUUAAUUAAAUAUAACUUUGGG
rnacentral:lncRNA from 1 species